UACGAAGGGGACUAGCGUUGUUCGGAAUCACUGGGCGUAAAGCGCACGUAGGCGGAUUCGUAAGUCAGGGGUGAAAUCCCGGGGCUCAACCUCGGAACUGCCUUUGAUACUGCGGGUCUUGAGUCCGAUAGAGGUGGGUGGAAUUCCUAGUGUAGAGGUGAAAUUCGUAGAUAUUAGGAAGAACACCGGUGGCGAAGGCGGCCAUCUGGACAGAUACUGACGCUGAGACGCGAAAGCGUGGGGAGCAAACAGG
rnacentral:rRNA from 1 species